rnacentral:rRNA from 1 species
UACGUAGGGGGCUAGCGUUGUCCGGAAUCAUUGGGCGUAAAGAGCGUGUAGGCGGCCCGGUAAGUCCGCUGUAAAAGUCAAAGGCUCAACCUUUGAAUGUCAGUGGAUACUGCCGGGCUAGAGUCCGGAAGAGGCGAGUGGAACUCCUGGUGUAGCGGUGGAAUGCGCAGAUAUCAGGAAGAACACCAACGGCGAAGGCAGCUCGCUGAGACGGUACUGACGCUGAGACGCGAAAGCGUGGGGAGCGAACAGG